rnacentral:snRNA from 1 species
GUGCUCACUUCAGCAGCACAUACACUAAAUUUGGAAUGAUACAGAGACGAGUAGCAUGUCCCCUGUGCAAGGAUGACACGCAAAUUCAUGAAGCAUUCCAUAGUUUU